CCCAGACUUUGUCCCGUCUAUCUUUCCAUACUCAAUCCAGCCCGGCAAAGACGGUGUUGCAAAACUGGAGCGAUAUAAGAGAAAAAGAAGAAGGGAUGCAACCCCCAGCAGGUGUCCAGAAGAUGGACAUCAGUGUACACCCUCUUCCAUCUCUCCAACUGAGUGUGGAAUAGAGGCUGGUGCUGAUCUAUAUAAUGAAGGUAUGGUCC